AACAUGUCUAUAUGAGUAUAAAAUAUAAAGUCUAGCCUGCCCACUGAGUAUUUAAAGGGCUGCGGUAAUUUGACCGUGCAAAGGUAGCAUAAUCAGUAGUCUUUUAAUUGAAGGCUUGAAUGAACGGUUGGAUGAGAGAGAAGCUGUCUCUUUUAUAAAUUAAAAUUUGACUUUUAAGUGAAAAGGCUUAAAUUUAAUAAAGGGACGAUAAGACCCUAUAAAACUUUAUAAGAGAUUUAUUUUAUUUUUAAAUUUUUUUUAAAAAUUAUAAAGUAUUUCUUUUAUUUUGUUGGGGCGACAUUGAUAUAAGCUGUAACUGUUUGAAUAAAAAUUAUAAUUAUCAUUAUUGUUUGAUCCUUCUUUGUGGAUAAAAAGACUAAGUUACUUUAGGGAUAACAGCGUAAUUUUUUUUGAGAGUUCUUAUCGAAGAAAAUAGUUGCGACCUCGAUGUUGAAUUAAAAUUUCAGGCAAGUGUAGCCGCUUGUUAUGUGGGUCUGUUCGACCUUUAAAAUUUUACAUGAUUUGAGUUCAAACCGGUGUAAGCCA
rnacentral:rRNA from 1 species